rnacentral:rRNA from 1 species
UACGUAGGGUGCGAGCGUUAAUCGGAAUUACUGGGCGUAAAGGGUGCGCAGGCGGCUCCGCAUGUCGGGCGUGAAAGCCCCGGGCUUAACCCGGGAAUGGCGUCCGAAACUAUGGAGCUGGAGUGUGGCAGAGGGAGGUGGAAUUCCACGUGUAGCGGUGAAAUGCGUAGAGAUGUGGAGGAACACCGGUGGUGUAGACGGCUUUCUGGACCGACACUGACGCUGAGACACGAAAGCGUGGGUAGCAAACAGG